rnacentral:rRNA from 1 species
UACAGAGGGUGCAAGCGUUGUUCGGAAUUAUUGGGCGUAAAGGGCGUGUAGGCGGUUUGCUAAGUCAUGUGUGAAAUCCCCCGGCUUAACCGAGGAACGACGCAUGAUACUGGCAAGCUAGAGUACCAAAGAGGGGGGUGGAAUUCCCGGUGUAGAGGUGAAAUUCGUAGAUAUCAAGCGGAACACCGGUGGCGAAGGCGGCCUUCUGGACAGUGACUGACGCUGAGACGCGAAAGCGUGGGGAGCAAACAGG